CUUGCAGCUUUAAUGAUUGUACCAACGGUGUCUACAGGUGUAUCCAGCAGCUCUGGAGAGACAGUGACCAGUGAGAAUGGACCAUGAUGACCAUGGCAGUUUUGUCAAAAAGAAAAGGGGGAUAUGUAGGGAAAAGAGAGAUCAGACUGUUACUGUGUCUAUGUAGAAAGGGAAGACAUAAGAAAUUCCAUUUUGAUCUGUACCUUGAAAAAUUGUUUUGCUGAGAUGCUGUUAAUUUGUAACUUUGCCCCAGCCACUUUGCCCCAACUUUGAGCUCACAAAAACAUGUGUUAUAUGGAAU
rnacentral:lncRNA from 10 species